CCGGGAGAAGUAUCUUCCAGGUGGCUCUCUGCUCAGCAGUUGUUUUCUUUACAAAGGCAGGGGAAGUUGUUGAUUCUUCCUUCCUUUUAGAUACAUCAGCCCCAUCUUUACCCUGCUUGUGCCACAAACCUCCUGAAGCAUCAUGGAGAAGUGACGUUAAAACCAAGCAGCAACAGGUAACAGAGAUGGCAGUACCACGCAGAGUUUCAGAGAGGACAUCGGGCAGGACCAAGCCUGCUUACAUUUUCAGAAUGCAGUGGUAACAGUUAGAUAGAGAAAGAGCCCAAGCUCUUGCAGGCAGCUGACUGAAGGCGCACAGAAUGAUAAUGGAGCUUCACUUAAAUGAUGACUGGAAACGAGUCUGCAGUGUUUGACCUUCCUGCUGAGGCCACGUGAGGAUUUGCUCAGGGCUUAAAUCCAGUGCCAAGGAUUAGCUGAGACUACCUGAGACUGCAUUGUGGAAUGAAGUAAAUGCCAUUUAAAUGAAUAGGGAAUUUAAGCACAAAUGUUCAACAUACCUAGAAAUAACUACAUGUGGUUUAGUUUCGAUGUUAAUUUCCCAUCCUUCCUCAUUAAACCCCUGGCUAAGAAG